AAGUCGAGCGAACAGACGAGGAGCUUGCUCCUCUGACGUUAGCGGCGGACGGGUGAGUAACACGUGGAUAACCUACCUAUAAGACUGGGAUAACUUCGGGAAACCGGAGCUAAUACCGGAUAAUAUAUUGAACCGCAUGGUUCAAUAGUGAAAGACGGUUUUGCUGUCACUUAUAGAUGGAUCCGCGCCGCAUUAGCUAGUUGGUAAGGUAACGGCUUACCAAGGCAACGAUGCGUAGCCGACCUGAGAGGGUGAUCGGCCACACUGGAACUGAGACACGGUCCAGACUCCUACGGGAGGCAGCAGUAGGGAAUCUUCCGCAAUGGGCGAAAGCCUGACGGAGCAACGCCGCGUGAGUGAUGAAGGUCUUCGGAUCGUAAAACUCUGUUAUUAGGGAAGAACAAAUGUGUAAGUAACUAUGCACGUCUUGACGGUACCUAAUCAGAAAGCCACGGCUAACUACGUGCCAGCAGCCGCGGUAAUACGUAGGUGGCAAGCGUUAUCCGGAAUUAGUGGGCGUAAAGCGCGCGUAGGCGGUUUUUUAAGUCUGAUGUGAAAGCCCACGGCUCAACCGUGGAGGGUCAUUGGAAACUGGAAAACUUGAGUGCAGAAGAGGAAAGUGGAAUUCCAUGUGUAGCGGUGAAAUGCGCAGAGAUAUGGAGGAACACCAGUGGCGAAAGGCGACUUUCUGGUCUGUAACUGACGCUGAUGUGCGAAAGCGUGGGGAUCAACAGGAUUAGAUACGCUGGUAGUCACGCGUAACGAUGA
rnacentral:rRNA from 1 species